rnacentral:rRNA from 1 species
AUUGAACGCUGGCGGCAGGCUUAACACAUGCAAGUCGAGCGGGGGGAGGUAGCUUGCUACCUAACCUAGCGGCGGACGGGUGAGUAAUGCUUAGGAAUCUGCCUAUUAGUGGGGGACAACAUUUCGAAAGGGAUGCUAAUACCGCAUACGCCCUAAGGGGGAAAGCAGGGGAUCUUCGGACCUUGCGCUAAUAGAUGAGCCUAAGUCGGAUUAGCUAGUUGGUGGGGUAAAGGCCUACCAAGGCGACGAUCUGUAGCGGGUCUGAGAGGAUGAUCCGCCACACUGGGACUGAGACACGGCCCAGACUCCUACGGGAGGCAGCAGUGGGGAAUAUUGGACAAUGGGGGGAACCCUGAUCCAGCCAUGCCGCGUGUGUGAAGAAGGCCUUUUGGUUGUAAAGCACUUUAAGCGAGGAGGAGGCUACCGAGAUUAAUACUCUUGGAUAGUGGACGUUACUCGCAGAAUAAGCACCGGCUAACUCUGUGCCAGCAGCCGCAGUAACAC